GAUGAACGCUAGCGACAGGCUUAACACAUGCAAGUCGAGGGGCAGCGAGAAAGUGCUUGCACUUUUGUCGGCGACCGGCGCACGGGUGAGUAACACGUAUGCAACCUGCCCUUGUCAGGGGGAUAAGCGAGGGAAACGCCGACUAAUACCCCAUAGUAUUGGGUUUAGGCAUCUUUAUCCAAUUAAAGAACUUCGGAAACGGAUAGGCUCGCGUGACAUUAGCUAGAUGGCGGGGUAACGGCCCACCUAGUCUACGAUGUCUAGGGGUUCUGAGAGGAAGGUCCCCCACACUGGAACUGAGACACGGUCCAGACUCCUACGGGAGGCAGCAGUGAGGAAUAUUGGUCAAUGGUCGGAAGACUGAACCAGCCAAGUAGCGUGAGGGAAGACGGUACUAAGUAUUGUAAACCUCUCUUGUCAGGGAACAAAGAGACCACGUGUGGUAAGAUGAGUGUACCUGAAGAAAAAGCAUCGGCUAACUCCGUG
rnacentral:rRNA from 1 species